GCAGCAAUCCAUGCCGUGUUGUGUCCAGGUGUAUGGCAGCAAUCCAUGCCAUGUUGUGACCAGGUGUAUGGCAGCAAUCCAUGCCAUGUUGUGACCAGGUGUAUGACAGCAAUCCAUGCCGUGUUGUGUCCAGGUGUAUGACAGCAAUCCAUGCCAUGAUGUUCUUGCAGUUUCCAGGAUCUCAGCGCGGUAUUCAGGUCCCUAACUGGGGAUGUUCCUGCUUGCACGGGGCCGAGUAGUGGUUUAAAGAAACACAACAAAAGACACUCAUGGGCCUGUGUAUUUCCUAUGGUGUUCAGGCACAUCUGUGCUUAUUACAGCUUGUGUCGGUCAUCUCAACGUGUCAGGGAAGAGGAAGCUGUUGGAAGUGAUGGAUUCCUGUACUUCACAGGAAAACAGUCGCCAACUUAACGUGGUACCUGUGCUACCACUUACAUAGAAGAGGUUUUCCUCCAAGUCCAGCUUUCCGUCCUUAUCUGUGGACGGGUGCUCCAGGGAGGUCUGCACAGCAGCGUGUGUGUCUGGCAGCAGUGAGUUGCAGUAAUGCUUGAGACAUGCAGAUUUCUCUUGUCAUUACAUAAAUAACACAUAAGUAGCAUCAGAAUGUGUUUUGGUAUGAGCAUGCGAUGCUGGAUUGCUGAAUGACAUGAGGUACAGCUGUGCACAAUGAAUGUGACUCUCCAGUACUUCCUCAGUUUCUUUAAGUGAAUCCCUGUCCUUCCAUGUGUGUUGAAAUGUGAGUGCUUUUCAAACAUGAGCUCCUGGCAUUGGCUUCCUGUCCUUCAGCUGCUUGCUCUCCUGAUCUGCCCAGCGCUGGACCUGGGGGUCCCUCGGGCAGCCCUGGGAUCCCGCACUCAGUGGCAGCAGCAUUUACACAGGCUGAGCCCAUGGCGCUCCCUGGUUGCUAAUUGAUCCAUGAGGACCUGCCUAUUUAGGCCCUCUAAUCAGGGUGUGGCUUUCUUAAACAUGAAGUGAGCGUUAAUUAACUCUUACUUUUGUUACUCCAGGGAUCUCUUUAUAGAAUCUCCCAUGCUGUGAUCUGGUGCUAUAUUGAAAUACGUUUGUUCUUGUGUCUUAAUUAAUGUCAGGGCUGAGGCAGUUGUGCUGGGCCUGGAGGAGGUGAGGGCUGACCUGGCUGGGUUGGGGUGGCGACCCAGAUCUGCCUCUGGCAAUUACAUAUUAAAGUUUCUGAUGCCUUAAUCCAUGUGGUCUCACUUUGAGCAUUGCCUUCCUUUCAGCAUCAGUGCCCUGUGAGAAUCUAGCAGUGAUUAGCAGCAGAAAGCCUCUCAGCCUGAACAUAAAAAAGGUUACUGUGACCUGAUGUCUGUG